CUGAGAGGAUGACCAGCCACACUGGAACUGAGACACGGUCCAGACUCCUACGGGAGGCAGCAGUGGGGAAUAUUGCACAAUGGGCGCAAGCCUGAUGCAGCCAUGCCGCGUGUAUGAAGAAGGCCUUCGGGUUGUAAAGUACUUUCAGCGGGGAGGAAGGGAGUAAAGUUAAUACCUUUGCUCAUUGACGUUACCCGCAGAAGAAGCACCGGCUAACUCCGUGCCAGCAGCCGCGGUAAUACGGAGGGUGCAAGCGUUAAUCGGAAUUACUGGGCGUAAAGCGCACGCAGGCGGUUUGUUAAGUCAGAUGUGAAAUCCCCGGGCUCAACCUGGGAACUGCAUCUGAUACUGGCAAGCUUGAGUCUCGUAGAGGGGGGUAGAAUUCCAGGUGUAGCGGUGAAAUGCGUAGAGAUCUGGAGGAAUACCGGUGGC
rnacentral:rRNA from 1 species